GUCGUGAUCUGCUUCUAUUUGGGCCAUGCGGUCUGCCAUCCCCUGAAUGUCUGCCCUCAUCAGCUGCAGGUCUGACUUGAUAGAGGACUGGAGGGCUGAGGUGGCUUGGGUGAGGUCUGCCCGCGUGGGUAGAGCCCUUAGCAGGGCCAUCCAGUCUGCAGGGGGGGUUUCCCCUGUGUCCUCCCGGGCUGGGGAGAGGGAGUGUGGCGUGGAGGCCUCAGAUGGCG